rnacentral:rRNA from 1 species
GCUCUUUGAGCGUUAACUAUAUCCAUCUACACCUGUGAACUGUUGAUUGACUUCGGUCAAUUACUUUUACAAACAUUGUGUAAUGAACGUCAUGUUAUUAUAACAAAAAUAACUUUCAACAACGGAUCUCUUGGCUCUCGCAUCGAUGAAGAACGCAGCGAAAUGCGAUAAGUAAUGUGAAUUGCAGAAUUCAGUGAAUCAUCGAAUCUUUGAACGCAACUUGCGCUCUCUGGUAUUCCGGAGAGCAUGCCUGUUUGAGUAUCAUGAAAUCUCAACCAUUAGGGUUUCUUAAUGGCUUGGAUUUGGGCGCUGCCACUUGCCUGGCUCGCCUUAAAAGAGUUAGCGUAUUAACUUGUCGAUCUGGCGUAAUAAGUUUCGCUGGUGUAGACUUGAGAAGUGCGCUUCUAAUCGUCUUCGGACAAUUCUUGAACUCUGGUCUCAAAUCAGGUAGGACUACCCGCUGAACUUAAGCAUAUCAAUAAGCGGA